ACGGAAGGCAGCAGUAGGGAAUUUUCGGCAAUGGGCGCAAGCCUGACCGAGCAAUGCCGCGUGAACGAAGAAGUAUUUCGGUAUGUAAAGUUCUUUUAUCAGGGACGAAAAAAUCAAAAUUGACUGUACCUGAUGAAUAAGCUCCGGCUAACUACGUGCCAGCAGCCGCGGUAAUACGUAGGGAGCGAGCGUUAUCCGGAAUUAUUGGGCGUAAAGGGUGCGUAGACGGCAAUAAAAGUCAGUUGUAAAAAUGCUAAGCUCAACUUAGUAGGGCAACUGAUACUAUAUAGCUAGAGUAUGUCAGAGGCAAGUGGAACUCCAUGUGUAGCGGUAAAAUGCGUAAAUAUAUGGAAGAACACCAGUGGCGAAGGCGGCUUGCUGGGACAAUACUGACGUUGAGGCACGAAAGCGUGGGGAGCAAACAGGAUUAGAUACCCUGGUA
rnacentral:rRNA from 1 species